CACAAGUUUUGUGCCAACAGCAGAAUGGCCACAGAUGUUUUAAAUAAAUGAUCGCAGUGAGAAGGGGUUAAUUAACCUGCUGAUAAAACAACAAUAACAUAAGGAAAAUAAUAAAAAUUAUUCAACUCACUUGAAACCUGUAACUCCAGGACAUGGUCUCAGGAGUGUGCUGGAAGAUGUUAGCAUCAUGCACCUGCAUUCUUGGUAACUUUUCACAGUUUCCAUCUUCUACUACAAACAUUGCAUUUUCACGGCUGGAACGCAAAUCACCUCUUGGGAGAAGCACACGUUCUUCGCUGAUGAUAUCCAAAGUCAUGCCCUGCUGCACACAGAGGUUGUGAGAUUUUAUUGACGAGAUCAACAUCUCACACAUCCAUACAUAAUACUUUAACUGAAAACCCACUAAAAGGCAAAAAUAACAAUAUAAACCCUGCAAGGGCAGCUUCUAGGUAUUUUACUUCUGUUUUUCUUAUGAAGCAACGAAGUUAAAGAAACAUUAAUUUCACUUUAAAAGAUGUUACUAAGAUUUCCACUUCAGUGAUUUAGUAAGAGGUAAAUGCACUGAUAGUAAUUAAUAUAUUUGCCCAGUCAAAUUUUACUUGUUAAAUUUUGGCUUGAACCUCAGCUCUACUCAGGAGGAGGAGAAAGAAUGGACACAAAGCAAAGUAAAGAGCCUAAAACGUAGAGAGACUGAAGAGUGAGAUGAAAUGAGGAGGGAGGAGGAGAAUUUUGCUCACUUACAACAUACUUAACCAGCCUGACAUGUGUUACAGUUGAUGUAAAGUCUCCUUUGCUGUAAAUGGGCUUUGCAGUGAGCCCAGUAAAAACGUAGAGAGUAGGUUUGAACUCCUGAGUCUGGACAUGGACAGAAAUGAUUCACAAAAGACAAAGUCAUGUAUAUUUUAAAAAACCAACACCUAGAAUCUUAUGAUUUUAGCUAAUGAACAUAAUUUAUUAAUAUACAAAAGAUCACUUUUGCAUAUCAGAAGUUGCUCCCGCUGUUAUUCAUAGUACUUCUUCUUGAAGUUCACAAACAGGUCCUUAACAUCAAUUAGAAGUUUAUCCAAUCUCAAGUUACGCUGACAUUGUAUGGAUUUUAAACUCUAAAUCACUGUAGAUCCAAAAUUGCCUAUUCCAAGUGGGCAUCAUCCACUUUUCUUUCUAUUCAUUUGUUUUCUCCAGCAGUUGUUUUUCUUACUCUUCCUUCUAUUGCUCUCUGAAUAUAUUCCUACCUACUGGUAUUUAUUCAUACACAGUAUAGUUAAAAAAAACUCACUCAACCUUUGGGAGAGAUGAAUCAAAUAAUGUUAAAAGGCUUUUCGGUCGUCUCAGUCUAUAAUGGGAGCGAUCUCCCAUGACCAAGCUGACAGUGACAUUAAACAAGAACAUUGUCCAGUGACUGUGAACUGUGUGAUGACAAAUAUUUUUCUCCUGAAUCACAAAGAAACAAAACAACACAAAAUUCCAAUGCCUGGAAAGCAAAAGAGUAAAUGAUUGAUGGGAAGAAACAUCACAUUUGCACAAUCAUUCUAUGGACAAAUGUACUUUCACUGACAUUAACAGAAAUCUUGUUCUUGGCUUUACCUUAAUCUGCUCAGCGUGUUCAUCUUUCUGCUCAGCCUAACACUAGAUGUGAAGCCAAACUAUGCCAAUUAACUCGCACAACAGAUGCUGAGAUCAGACUGUCAACAGUAUACCAAGACUUGAAUUGUGAACACUGUCACCUUAGCAUGGUCCUGGAUUUACAUAUUUUACGCAUUCACCCAAAUUCGCACACAAGCAUCUCAGCUUAGGAUGAUUUAGAAUCUGUUUUCAUGAAGAAUCAACGUUUAGCCAGGAGGCAGCAAAGAGCACUUUCUUAAAUUGUAUUCUGGCUGUUUCUGCCUGUGCUAGUCCAUUAGGUCUGCCUGGGAUGGAGUUGUGGAAUUCAGCUGCACUGAAAUGGGAUGAAAGCUCCAUGCAGCUGCGCCCAGGGAAAGGGAGCAGGAAGUUUACCAUCCCUGCCUCUCAGCCCUCACACCACACCUCGUUAAGGCUUCUUUGAUGGACUUGGUGGGUGCUUACUCCUUGAAAAAGGCUGCACGCUGCCAUAUCAGGGCAGGCCACAGCUGGCUGAGGAAUGCAGCUCGCCAUGUCAUCGUUUGGAUGUGCCCAUUUUCACCAUGUUUCACUUACUGAACAGCUGCCUGCUCUCUAC
ensembl:lncRNA